rnacentral:lncRNA from 1 species
UUCCGUCAAUUCUUUCAACAACUUGUGAGCUUUCAAUACCAAUUAUUAUAUGUACCUCACAAGUGUUUCACUCUUCUCAAAAUCCUAUGUGUUUGCACUCACUCAUGCUCACAUAUUUCUCAUUCUGAUGUCUCACUAGUUCUUCUCAGAAUCUCACCAAGUGUUUAACUCUCAGUGUUUGGCUCACAGUGUUUCUCUCAGCACUCAAAGUAUGGUCUUCUGUACCUGCAUGAGAAAAUCACCAUAGCCCCUUCAAGAGAGGUCACUGGCGGUGCAAUGGGGUUUCGUAAAUCCCCGAUCCUCAACUGACUCAUCAAUAAAUUGACUCAUAGUCAGAGAGUUGCCGAUCUCCUAUAAAUAGGAAAUCCAUUCCGAUUGGAUCCAGAUCUGUUCUUAUCUGGGGAGGGAGACGAGAAUCCUGAAGAUUUGGCAAUUGAGAUCCUCGUUUCCUCCUUACACCUGUAAAGGCAUCAACCAUCUUAU